rnacentral:rRNA from 1 species
CCUACGGGAGGCUGCAGUGAGGAAUAUUGGUCAAUGGACGAGAGUCUGAACCAGCCAAGUAGCGUGAAGGAUGACUGCCCUAUGGGUUGUAAACUUCUUUUAUAUGGGAAUAAACUGUUCCACGUGUGGGUUUUUGUAUGUACCAUAUGAAUAAGGAUCGGCUAACUCCGUGCCAGCAGCCGCGGUAAUACGGAGGAUCCGAGCGUUAUCCGGAUUUAUUGGGUUUAAAGGGUGCGUAGGUGGAUUGUUAAGUCAGUUGUGAAAGUUUGCGGCUCAACAGUAAAAUUGCAGUUGAAACUGGCAGUCUUGAGUACAGUAGAGGUGGGCGGAAUUCGUGGUGUAGCGGUGAAAUGCUUAGAUAUCACGAAGAACUCCGAUUGCGAAGGCAGCUCACUGGACUGCAACUGACACUGAGGCUCGAAAGUGUGGGUAUCAAACAGGAUUAGAUACCCCAGUAGUC